rnacentral:rRNA from 1 species
AGAAUCAACGCUGGCGGCGUGCCUAACACAUGCAAGUCGAACGCGAAAGUCCCGCAAGGGAUUAGUAGAGUGGCAAACGGGUGAGUAACACGUGGGUGACCUGCCUUCGAGUGGGGGAUAACGUCCCGAAAGGGACGCUAAUACCGCAUGACAUCCUGUCUUUGGAAAGACGGAGAUCAAAGCUGGGGAUUCGCAAGAACCUGGCGCUUGAAGAGGGGCCCGCGCCUGAUUAGCUAGUUGGUAGGGUAACGGCCUACCAAGGCAACGAUCAGUA